GACGUAGGGCGCAAGCGUUGUCCGGAUUUAUUGGGCGUAAAGAGCUCGUAGGCGGCUCGUUGCGUCGGCUGUGAAAACCCGCAGCUCAACUGUGGGCUUGCAGCCGAUACGGGCGGGCUGGAGUUCGGUAGGGGAGACUGGAAUUCCUGGUGUAGCGGUGAAAUGCGCAGAUAUCAGGAGGAACACCAGCGGCGAAGGCGGCGCUCUGGGCCGGUACUGACGCUGAGGUGCGAAAGCGUGGGGAGCAAACAGG
rnacentral:rRNA from 1 species